rnacentral:rRNA from 1 species
UACGUAGGGGGGCUAGCGUUGUCCGGAAUCAUUGGGCGUAAAGGGCGCGUAGGUGGCGGGACAAGCGUGCGGUGAAAGCUCGGGGCUCAACCCCGCGUCGGCCGUGCGAACUGUUUUGCUUGAGCACUGUAGAGGCAGGCGGAAUUCCGGGUGUAGCGGUGGAAUGCGUAGAGAUCCGGAAGAACACCGGUGGCGAAGGCGGCCUGCUGGGCAGUAGCUGACACUGAGGCGCGACAGCGUGGGGAGCAAACAGG